GUGGGGAAUCUUGCGCAAUGGGCGAAAGCCUGACGCAGCCAUGCCGCGUGAAUGAUGUAGGUCUUAGGAUUGUAAAAUUCUUUCACCGGGGACGAUAAUGACGGUACCCGGAGAAGAAGCCCCGGCUAACUUCGUGCCAGCAGCCGCGGUAAUACGAAGGGGGCUAGCGUUGCUCGGAAUUACUGGGCGUAAAGGGCGCGUAGGCGGACAGUUUAGUCAGAGGUGAAAGCCCAGGGCUCAACCUUGGAAUUGCCUUUGAUACUGGCUGGCUUGAGUACGGGAGAGGUGAGUGGAACUCCGAGUGUAGAGGUGAAAUUCGUAGAUAUUCGGAAGAACACCAGUGGCGAAGGCGACUCACUGGCCCGUUACUGACGCUGAGGCGCGAAAGCGUGGGGAGCAAACAGGAUUAGAUACCCUUGUAGUCC
rnacentral:rRNA from 1 species